UGUAAAUGAAGCUGCUCGAGAUCCGCGUAACUUUUUCUUGUCAGUGGUACAUUUUCCGCGCAUGCGCACAACAAACGGUCGACUCGCCCCUUUUCAUCAAGGUGCUCUUCUUGAGCUAUUUUGGCUUCUUUCUCCAAGUGUUCAAGAUCUUCAUUGAAGCCUGUGACGUUUGCCAGGAUGUUUUUGAUGUCCUCGAUCAUCUUCUUGAUGUCAUCAGGGGACUUGGGCAGCUGAAUUGACAACACAGCAUUUGCCAGUUUCUCAAUGUCCUCCGGCUUCACCAGCUCAUCUGUUAAGCUGCCUGGACGACCUCGCCUCCUCAGCUUGUUUCCCGUGGGGUGUCUCGCUGGAUCUUUGCUUCCGGUUUUGGCUACAUUGCGGUCUGCUUAGCCUCUUGCACCCAUGCUCCACGAACUAUCUGCCAUCUUCAUUCGACGUUGUGGAUUAGUCACGUUUGUCUUCGGAAUCUCGCCAUCAUGGACAUUAGAGUGGCAGGACACCCAUUUGCCCAGCGGCGCUUUGCACUCGUGGAUUACUCGCGUUUUGUCUUCGGAAUCUUUCCAUCGCGGACAUUUGAGAGGCAGAACAAUCUUUAGCCCAGUGGGUUCAUCAUCGUACGAACUGUGGUUACUCUUUGUUCAUCUGUCACAUUGUGAGAGGACAUUUCUGAUACUAUUUUCCCCCAGUUUUUUCGGCCG